GGAGGUAGACCUCAGUGAUAGAACCCAUGCUUAGCAUGCAUAAGGUUCUGGGUUCAUUCCCCAGUACCUCCA
rnacentral:tRNA from 1 species